CUGCAGAAGUAGUGCCUGGUAGGACCUUACUGACUGCAAUUGCUUGCUGGCAAAUGCCCGGCCAGCUGAACCCAGCCCUGCUCAGACUUGAGAUCUGUCCUUCAGAAACAAGGAGGGAUGCUGGCAUAUUGAUUGUGAGAGCUGCAACCUGAACCUCCUGCAGCCCCUCUUAUGAGGAAAGGCACAAAGUCAGUGAGAAGCAGAAGCUCCAAAACUACCACAACACAGCCUGUUUCAUCCAAUCUGCCACCAGCCCCAUGCACUAACACUCAGAAAGAACCUUAACACACCUGGAGCAAAUGGAGGACACAAUUACACUAAUUAGACCCCGGGCUGGGCUUCCUCAUUUUGGUUGCAAGGACCCAAUCAGGGGCAGCUGAGCAAACUGACCUUAUAAAGGCUUGGGGGGAGGAGCAGGAGGGGAGCUGGCAGUUGGGAUGUGCAGCUGGGGGUAGUAGCUUUGCUCUGCUUAGGUGUAGGAGCAUGGAUUGUGUUUAAAAGUUAUUCGUCCUUGCUGUUAUUGACUUCGUUUUCCUGUGGUGGAACUGCAGAAGAGGCUCUAUGUAACAACCUGUGAUCAGGAUCCCAGUUAUGUGCUGGAUAGGCAAAUGAAGAAGCUCCUAGGCCAGCUUUUCCAUGAUUUGGAUGGAGCAUAUAAAUAAGCAUGAAAGUAGAUCUGUUGGUGAAGGCUCUGGAGAACUGCAGAGACUGAGAGGAAACGGGGUAAGACAGCACCAACACUCUCCUGUCUUUGUCCAAAGGAAAAACAAACAAAACUGGAAGCACUAUUUUUCCUGCAGCAAAUAUCUUUAGCCUCCUUCCAUCCCUAUUGCAACAAAGAGCGUGUACUGAUAAAAUUUGAUGCACUGCAACAGAAAUUAAGUCACUUCUGCCAUCUCUGCUUUCUGGAAUUGGCAACACUGAUGACAGAAUUUCUUAUUUACAGAGUAUAUGGUAAG